AGAUGGCGGACCGGCGCACGGGUGAGUAACACGUAUCCAACCUGCCGAUAACGUGGGGAUAGCCUUUCGAAAGAAAGAUUAAUACCCGAUGGUAUAAUUAGACCGCAUGGUCUUGUUAUUAAAGAAUUUCGGUUAUCGAUGGGGAUGCGUUCCAUUAGGCAGUUGGUGAGGUAACGGCUCACCAAACCUUCGAUGGAUAGGGGUUCUGAGAGGAAGGUCCCCCACAUUGGAACUGAGACACGGUCCAA
rnacentral:rRNA from 1 species